UACGGGGGGGCAAGCGUUGUUCGGAAUUACUGGGCGUAAAGAGCUCGUAGGUGGUUUGUCGCGUUGUUCGUGAAAACUCACAGCUUAACUGUGGGCGUGCGGGCGAUACGGGCAGACUGGAGUACUGCAGGGGAGACUGGAAUUCCUGGUGUAGCGGUGGAAUGCGCAGAUAUCAGGAGGAACACCGGUGGCGAAGGCGGGUCUCUGGGCAGUAACUGACGCUGAGGAGCGAAAGCGUGGGGAGCAAACAGG
rnacentral:rRNA from 1 species